rnacentral:rRNA from 1 species
CCUUCGGGUCGUAAACUCCUUUCGACCGAGAAGAAUGGCUCUCAACCUAAUACGUCGAGAGCAUGACGGUACCGAGGGAAGAAGCCCCGGCUAACUCCGUGC